CACUCCUGCGGGAGGCAGCAGUGGGGAAUUUUGGACAAUGGGCGAAAGCCUGAUCCAGCAAUGCCGCGUGUGUGAAGAAGGCCUUCGGGUUGUAAAGCACUUUUGUCCGGAAAGAAAUCCUUGGCUCUAAUACAGUCGGGGGAUGACGGUACCGGAAGAAUAAGCACCGGCUAACUACGUGCCAGCAGCCGCGGUAAUACGUAGGGUGCGAGCGUUAAUCGGAAUUACUGGGCGUAAAGCGUGCGCAGGCGGUUUGCUAAGACCGAUGUGAAAUCCCCGGGCUCAACCUGGGAACUGCAUUGGUGACUGGCAGGCUAGAGUAUGGCAGAGGGGGGUAGAAUUCCACGUGUAGCAGUGAAAUGCGUAGAGAUGUGGAGGAAUACCGAUGGCGAAGGCAGCCCCCUGGGCCAAUACUGACGCUCAUGCACGAAAGCGUGGGGAGCAAACAGGAUUAGAUACCCCAGUAGUCCCAU
rnacentral:rRNA from 1 species